rnacentral:rRNA from 1 species
AACGUAGGGGGCAAGCGUUGUCCGGAAUCAUUGGGCGUAAAGAGCGUGUAGGCGGUCCGAUAAGUCGGCUGUGAAAGUCAAGGGCUCAACCCUUGAAUGCCGGCCGAUACUGUCAGGCUAGAGUCCGGAAGAGGCGAGUGGAAUUCCUGGUGUAGCGGUGAAAUGCGCAGAUAUCAGGAGGAACACCUAUGGCGAAGGCAGCUCGCUGGGACGGUACUGACGCUGAGACGCGAAAGCGUGGGGAGCGAACAGG